AUACAUAUAUUUCAAUAUUCUUGUUAAUGAAAUGAUGUUAUUUUACAUCAUUGUCCACAACGAGCUGUUCUGCAAACCAAAAUUAUUGACGUUCGCAGUUUAAAGCUAUCGGCCGUCUAUGAGGACAAGGAAGAACCGCAUGCAAUCGCAUAUAGCCAUAUAGCAUGCACAAACAUGUAUAUAAGUUGCCCAACACACCCAGCACACGAGAAUUUCUCCCUGCUGAAACAAGCAGGAUGAAAAGUCAUACUUGCCAGAAGUUCCGUUCGUAUUUCCUUUUGUUACUCGUACGUGAUUCGUGGAAUACGUCGUUUUGUAGAUAUUCGUUGUAACAUUUGACUGCUGGAACUUUUGGCGUUAGUACUUUUGAUACACUGCACGUAACAAGCCAUGCAACGCUACAUCGGUUUUAAACCGGGAAGGGAAAUGAUUAUAUCAAUGGAACAUGCUUCGCAAUAAGAAAUUAAACACAAAGCGCGAAGAUCGUCCCAGAAACAUUGUUUUGCCCCUGCAGCAUUUGGAAUGCACAUUAUUAAAAUGCGCAUUUUUCAGAGGUGUAUGAGUUUCAUAUUGUACUAAGUUAAAGAAUGUCAAUUUAGAGAAAAAUGAAAUACAAUAAAUUAAGAGAAAGAGAGAAACAUGCAGAAUAAAAUGUAUGCACAAAUAUAUAUUAUAUUACAUGGAAAAAAAACAAGUCGAUUAUAAUAUAAUAGUAUUUCAUAUCUAAUUUCAUAUCAAAAUAUUAAAUCAAAUAUAAAUAUGAAAUAAUAAUGUGUAUAAAGUUUGCAAGUAUAAUCGUUGUAUAAAUUUCACGUACAAUUAAACAAGAUUUUAAAAAAUGCUCCAUAAAAUAUGCGUUUUAUACAUUUAAGCAGAAUAUCUUUCUGCGUGUAAGAAUGGAUAAAUGAAAGAAAUAAUAAAAAAGUGCUUAAAGAGAAGAUUCAUGUGAAAUUGCGUUCUGAAAGAAGAGAGAAAAAGAUGGGAAAGAGUGCAAUAAUAAAAUCAUAGCUUACCGUAUAUAUACCGGAGAGUAGGGUUAAACAAAAACUUUUUGAGAGAGACCUUUUCUGUUGUAGUUGUGGUGGUAGCUGUUGUCUGAUAGAUUCUUAUUGUUGUCAAUAUAUUGUGCUUGUUGUUGAUGUUGUCGUUUAUCGUUGUGGUGUUAUCAUUUCUUGGUGGUGUUUUAUGUCAUUUUCUUUACUCCCAUCGUAGCCCGCGAAUCACAAUUUUUUUUAAGCUUCAUGCUUAACUUAUUUCAGUUAUAACGUUUAUGCACUCUUUUUCUCGUUUCAGUUAACCACCAGAAAAUCGACAAAAUCGUUGCCUGGGACUAACUUCAAGAGGAGGAUACCACCGAAAGUACAGAUAAACACGUAACAACAAUUACAGUGGUAAAACACACACGCACACGCAAGAUCAGUGACAGGAGGUUUGAGAAUAAAGAAGGACGUCGUCGAAAAUUUAUGAAGGCCCGCAGUGUAUCACUACAGUGAGACUUAAUUGGAGCACUUCCCAAUUAAAUCGGCGAUUCAUAAAUAUGCAACGACUCUAGGCUAGUGGUGCAGAACAAGUUAGGUUCUUACAUAGAGAAUACACGUAGCAACAGAUACACCAGCAAGUACCUAUCACAGGCAGACAUAACGUAAUACACCGACUAAAAGUGCCAGUUUUAUAAAUGCGUAUUAUCUAAUUUUGUUCUGUAUUACAAUUGCUAUAGUUUGUAAAAGAAUUACAAAAAAUAAUAAUUGUAA
rnacentral:lncRNA from 1 species